rnacentral:ncRNA from 1 species
AAAGUUCCCGGCCGAAUCGGUGCUUUCGGCGCAUCCGCGCGCAAAGUAAACGGGAAACAGGAAGGCGUUCUCGCCCAGCCUGUGCUGCCCCCGCAACGGUCCCCAUGAUGCCGCCUCACCGGCCUCAUGGCAGCCCGACACCGGCCGGUUCGCCCACCGGGCC